rnacentral:rRNA from 1 species
UAGGGAAUAUUGCAAAAUGGGCGAAAGCCCGAUGCAGCAACGCCGCGUGGGCGAUGAAGGCCUUCGGGUCGUAAAGCCCUUUUUGAGGGGAUGAGGAAGGACAGUACCCUCAGAAUAAGCCUCGGCUAACUACGUGCCAGCAGCCGCGGUAAAACGUAGGAGGCGAGCGUUAUCCGGAUUUACUGGGCGUAAAGCGCGUGCAGGCGGAUUGGAGAGUUGGAUGUGAAAGCUCCCGGCUUAACUGGGAGAGGUCGUUCAAUACUUCCAUUCUUGAGUGCAGUAGAGGGAAGUGGAAUUCCGGGUGUAGUGGUGAGAUGCGUAGAUAUCCGGAGGAACACCAGUGGCGAAAGCGGCCUCCUGGACUGUAACUGACGCUCAGACGCGAAAGCUAGGGUAGCAAACG